rnacentral:rRNA from 1 species
UACGUAGGGUGCAAGCGUUGUCCGGAAUUAUUGGGCGUAAAGAGCUCGUAGGCGGUCUGUCGCGUCGGCUGUGAAAUCCCGAGGCUCAACCUCGGGUCUGCAGUCGAUACGGGCAAACUGGAGUGUUGCAGGGGAGACUGGAAUUCCUGGUGUAGCGGUGAAAUGCGCAGAUAUCAGGAGGAACACCGGUGGCGAAGGCGGGGUCUCUGGGCAACAACUGACGCUGAGGAGCGAAAGCGUGGGGGAGCGAACAGG